rnacentral:rRNA from 1 species
AACGGCCGCGGUAUUUUGACCGUGCAAAGGUAGCGCAAUCACUUGUCUUUUAAAUAAAGACCUGUAUGAAUGGCAUAACGAGGGCUUAACUGUCUCCUUUCUCCUAUCAAUGAAAUUGAUCUCCCCGUGCAGAAGCGGGGAUUCCUACAUAAGACGAGAAGACCCUAUGGAGCUUAAGCCGCAAGAACAGAACAUGUCAUUUCCAUCAAUUAAGGUACGAAAGCCAUUGAACCCUGUUCAAGUGUCUUUGGUUGGGGCGACCACGGAGUAUAAGAAAACCUCCAUGAGGAAUGAAGAUAACUCUUUCCAUCUAAGGGUGACAACCCUAAGAACCAGAAUUUCUGACCAAUUUGAUCCGGCAAUGCCGAUCAACGAACCGAGUUACCCUAGGGAUAACAGCGCAAUCCUCUUUUAGAGCCCAUAUCGACAAGAGGGUUUACGACCUCGAUGUUGGAUCAGGACAUCCUAAU